GAUGAACGCUGGCGGCGUGCCUAAUACAUGCAAGUCGAGCGAACGGACUAGAAGCUUGCUUGUCUGAUGUUAGCGGCGGAGGGGAGUGUAACACGUGGAACAUCCACCUAUAAGACGGGGAUCACUUCGGGAAACCGGAUCUAAUUCGGGAUAAUAUUUUGAACCGCAUGGGUCAAAAGGAAAAGGCGUUUUUGCUGUCGGUUGUAGACGGAGCCUAGCUGCAUUAGCUUGUUGGUAAGGUAACGGCUUGCCAAGGCAACGAGGCAUAGCCGGCCAGAGAGGGUGAGAGGCCAAACUGGAACUGAGACACGGUGCAGCCGCCCACGGGAGGCAGCGGUAGGGAAGCUUCCGCAAUGGGCCAAAGGCUGACGGAGCGACGCCGCGUGGGUGAGGAAGGUAUUCGGAUCGUAGGGCUCUGUUAUUAGGGAAGAAAAGAUGUAUAAGUAACUAUGCACGUGGUGACGGUACUGGAUCAAAAAGCCACGGCUAACUACGUG
rnacentral:rRNA from 1 species